AAAGUCUAGGGUUUGGAUUUGGGUUAGGGUAUGGGUUUGGGUUAGGGUUAGAGUUUGGGUUGAGAGAGAGCGAGAAAGAAAAAAAAAAUGGGAGAACUCCAUGACUGCCACAGGCUAGACGUGAUCGGAAGAUUUUGAAAGUGCAAAGCAUAAGCGUUUCGAAAACACCAAAUGCUCAAUCCGUGAAGAGCGAGGUGGUGAGUGAGAGGCACCGAGAGAACGAGUUUGGCAGUCAGAGAGUCAACCCAGGAGCGGAAGAGCUAGAUACAUGAAAUUUGAAGGUUGCGGUAAAGGGGAAAUCGAACAAGUGUCAAAGAAAGAUCAGAAUUAUCAAGCCUCCAAACUUCACUUUGAAAAUGUCCAAAAAGAUACGGGAAUCCCAUAAUAAUUUUGAAUUUGAUAAAGACUCAUAAGUGAUGAUUUGAUGGGAUUUUAUGAGCGGAUGGGUGACACUCUUACACAUCAGUACUGUGGUUCUGCUGCACACAACAAGUUCAUUACUGAGGUAUAUGUAACCAAAGAAAAGAUGUCUACUAAAAUAGUUAAAGAAGUUUUAGAUGGUCAUCAUAAUGCUAGAGUGAACGAUAACUUGCAUAGGCGAUAUAUGAUUGAUAUUGUUGCAAAAGUCGAAGUUUUGCGUCCUAUUAUUGUUGACAAAGAGUUUUCGAUUGCCAAGCUUGAGAAAGUGGUAGAGAAGUUACAAAUGUUUUCUGCACAGAAGAAGCAACUGAAGGUUUAUGAUAUGUUCACUCUAUUUAAGAAGUCAAAAUCAAAUAAAGAUGAUGAUAUAUCAACUGAUGAUGUUGGAAAUCAAAUUCAAAGCAAGAUUAUAGGUUAAGUGAUGGUUUUGGGAACAAAUUUUACAAAAAGAUAAUCAGAUAGUAUUUUAUGGUGUUAGCUCAACCUAUGAAGUGUCUGAAAAGUGUUUCUUUGAAAACCCCUUGGACAAAGAAACACGGGUACAUGUCAGAUAUUUUAAUAUUUAUCUCUUCAUCACCUAAAACAUUGUCAGCUUUUUCAUUGUAAAUUUCCCAACAACAUGUAUUAUGUCAGAAGCAUUCCCUGAAUUAGACUUCCCAACAUCAUCACCUUCUUUGUCAAAAUCUUUCUAUGAAUUUGACUUCCCAACACCGUAAAGUACUACCUAAUUAUACUUUUGUAUAAUUUUGUUCUCAAAAUCAUCACUUACCAUAUAAUCUUGCUUUGAAUUUGAGUUUUCAACAUCAUUCGCUGAUAUGUCAUCAUCUUUCUCUGAUUUUGACUUCUUAAAUGGAGUAAACAAAUCAUAAACCUUUUGUUGUCUCUUAUGUGCAAGAAACAUUUAUAGCUUCUCUACCACUUUCUCAAGCUUGGUAAUCGAAAGCUCUUGGUCAACAAUAAUAGCACGUAAAACUUCAUUUUUUGUAACAAUAUUAGUCAUAGAUUUGUCUAUGCAAGUUCUCGUUCACUCUAGCAUUACGAUAACCAUUUAAAGCUUCUUUAACUAUUUCAUUAGAUAUUUCUUCUUUGGUUAUAUAUACCUCGGUAAUGAUAAAUACAAAACAAAAUAAGCACACAAAUCAUUUUAAAAUCAAUAAAAAUUAUAUAAUAAGUAAUUGCUAUAAGCUAUUAUAAUCUCACUUCAUUAGAUUAAAAUGUUUUUUCAACUUCUGCUUCACCAACUUUAACAUGCAUCUAAUGAAGGAUUUUAGGUAAACAACUUUUUGUUCUAGCAAACUUCUUCUGACCAAAUAACACAUGUUCCAUUGCCUAGAUUUGGUACAUACAAAAUUCAGUUUCAAAUAACUAAAAAUUAUAACAAUAACUUUGUAAUUAACAUCAAAAUAUACCUGUAAUGCAAAUACACAACCAACCAGAUGACAGUGUGAAUUUUUUAUCUCUUCCAUACAAAACAAUGCAGCAUCACACAAACUAGAAACCAAAUAAUCAUAAAUAACACAUUCCCAAUUAUACUUUCCGAUACACGAUAAAUCAUCUAAUAAUUCAAAUAAACCAUAAUGAACUUUUCCACCUUUAUUUGGAAAGAAAAACUCACUCAAUCCUAACAGUAAAUAUAAUCUAUUGAUAUCAUCUUCUUUUAUAUGCUUUUGAAUUUCUUCGUAAACAUUAUAUACACUUACAUCAAUUGUAACUCCAUCUGUUCAUCCACCAUAACCCCUAAACCUAAACAUACGUCUAACUUGGUGAAUGGAAUAAAGAUAGACCUAACUUCAAACUUGUCCCUCUUCUCUUACCAUCUGCUACAUAAUUUUAUUAGUAGAUGUCUUUUGCACAUCGGUUAAUAAUGUGUUGACAUGUGCCAAGUAUUUUGUCCUGCAUAAACCUAUAUAUAAAGAACAACUCAAACAAACCACUUCAGGAAAUCAAAUUUAAACACAUAAUAAAUCAUCAUGUGCAUUCAAACUUGUUUUUCCAUAAUCACUCUUCCAAGUAUCUUUAUGCUUUGACUGCAUGUCCAUAUAUAUAAAAGUUACAGUUCAAGCCAUAAAAGAUUUAAAUGGAGGACAUAUACGCACACAUGUAUCACAACAAAAUCAGAUUCAUAUAUAAUAAUUACAUUUUCUAAACUAUUUAAUUUCAUCUAGCACUCAUAUACCAGAAAGAUAUCCAAGUCAUACUUGUUUUUCAAAGAUAGAUUGGUUGUCUAUUGUAAGACCCGAAAUAAAUACAAUAAAUUAUUUUUCUCCCAAGAGAAUUAUUUCCAAAUAAAGAUAUUUAAUAUUUCUACUA